rnacentral:lncRNA from 1 species
ACCUGGGGACACCCACUGGGGACACCCACUGGGGACACUGGGGACACCCCCGGGGGACACCCCCGGGGGACACCGGGGACACCCACUGGGGAUAAUGGGGACACCGGGGACACCCAAUGGGGAUAAUGGGGACACCGGGGACACCGACCGGGGGACACUGGGGACACCCAAUGGGGACACCCACCUGACAUCCUAACCCCGGCAGCCGGGGUUAGGGAGAGGGAUCGCUGAGGGCUUGGGAGGUCAGGGAAGGGAUCGUGGGGGUUUGGGAGCUCAGGGAACCCAUCCUGGAGAUCACCAGGGGGUUUGGGAGCUCAGGGAACCCAUCCUGGAGCUCAGGGGGGUUUGGGAUCUCAGGGAACCCAUCCUGGAGAUCACAGAGGGUUUUAGAUCGCAAGGAACUCAUCCUGGAGCUCAGGGGGGUUUGGGACCUCAUGGAACCCGUCCUGAAGAUCACCGGGGCUUUGGGAUUUUGGGGAGCCCAUCCUGAAGAUCACCGGGGCUUUGGGAUUUUGGGGAGCCCAUCCCCGAGCUCACGCAGGCUUUGGGCUCCCAGUUAAACCCUCCCAGAGCUCCCGGAGUGUCGGGGAUCCCAAUUCCCCCAUCCCAAACCCCCCAAUCCCGGGGCACCCCUGGGUGCUCGGUGUCCCCCCCUGACCCCUCUGUGCCCCCCCAGGCAGCAAUUUCGGGGGCGGGGGCAGCUACAACGACUUCGGCAGCUACAACAACCAGGCCUCAAGCUUUGGGCCCAUGAAGGGCGGCAGCUUCGGGGGGCGCAGCUCGGGGCCCUACGGCGGCGGCGGCUACGGCAGCUCCAGCGGCGGCGGCAGCUACGGAGGAGGGAGAAGGUUUUAACGGCCAGGAGCCGGAGCCGGGCGGGAGCUGGGGCGGCCCCUGGAGCCAGCGCGGGGCCGGGCCGAGCCCCCGGGACCCCCGGGACCCCCGGGCUGGCCGUGCCCGGGUCCCCCCCGCAGUUCCCCGCUGUGUCCUGUACCCCCCCUCAAUAAAUGUCUCUUGGGUUUUUUUUUUUAAUUACUUUUCAUUAUUAGCGUUCGUUUCAGCGGCGGGGCGGCCGCUCUCACCCCCAUUGGCCGCUGCAGCUGUCAGUCACGGCCUGGCUCCGCCCCCCUCGCCUCCACUCUGUUGUCACCUUGGGUGUCCCCAGGGUGUCCCUGGAUGUCCCUGGGUGUCCCUGGGUGUCCCCAGAGGGUCCCUGGGUGUCCCCAGGUGUCCCCAGAGGGUCCCUGGGUGUCCCCAGGUGUCUCCAGGGUGUCCCCAGGUGUCCCCAGGUGUCCCCAGGGUGUCCCCAGGUGUCCCCACCCGUGUCCUCCAUGUCCCCAAUGUCCCAGUUGUCCCCAAUUGUCCCCAGUGUCCCCUCC